GCGCAUGCGCCGGGGGCCAGCUUCUGGUACUUUCGACGCGUCUGCUGACGUAGGCUCUCAGUGCGCGUCCGGACGUCGAAGGUGGAGGUUGUAGAGUUCGCUGUUCGAGAGUGGGCACGAAACGCUCCUUUUAGUCCUGCGUUCCGAAAGGAGGGUGUCUGUUGGGCCUUUCUCUCAGUCGUGAGGGAGGCGUCGACGGCCUACGGAAGUCGUGAGUUGAGGCUUGCGGGAUCGUUUCCGGAGAAAGCGCAGGCUAAGGCCGCAGCGGAAGAUGUCCAACUACGUGAACGACAUGUGGCCGGGCUCGCCGCAGGAGAAGGAUUCGCCCUCCGCCUCGCGGUCGGGCGGGUCCAGCCGGCUCUCGUCGCGGUCUAGGAGCCGUUCUUUUUCCAGAAGCUCUCGGUCCCGUUCCCGCGUCUCGAGUCGGUUGUCGUCUAGGAGUCGGAGCCGGAGCCGGAGGAGUAGGUCGAGGUCCCGUUCCCGAAGGCGCCACCAGCGGAAGUACAGGCGCUACUCGCGGUCAUACUCGCGGAGCCGGUCGCGAUCUCGCAGCCGCCGUUACCGAGAGAGGCGUUACGGCUUCUCCAGGAGAUACUACCGGUCUCCUUCGCGGUCCCGGUCCCGGUCCCGUAGCAGGUCGCGCUCUCGGGAAAGGUCGUACUACGGAAGGGCGUACGCGAUGGCGCGCGGGCGGCGCUACUACGGCUUUGGUCGCACAGUGUACCCGGAGGAGCGCAGCAGAUGGAGGGACAGAUCCAGGACGAGGUCGCGGAGCAGAACCCCCUUUCGCUUAAGUGAAAAAGAUCGAAUGGAGCUGUUAGAAAUAGCAAAAGCCAAUGCAGCGAAAGCUUUAGGAACAACCAACAUUGAUUUGCCAGCUAGUCUCAGAACUGUACAUGUAGCCAAAGAAACAAGCCAUGGAAUAGGUGUAUCAAGUAAUGGUGCAAAGCCUGAAGUAAGUAUUCUAGGUUUGUCCCAACAAAACGUUCAGAAAGCCAACUGUCAAAUCUGAUAAGCCACUUACUAUUUACCUUAGACUAUACUUUUUGGGAAGUCUAGCUAUGUAUAUAAUGUGCUAAAUUCAGAGUAGCAGAUCUGAAGAUAAGCAAGGUGUCAUACCCAUGAAAAUGGGAGAUUAAUGAACUUUAGUGGCAGAUCUGAAGAUAAGCAAGGUCGUACCCAUGAAAAUGGGAGAUUAAUGAACUUUAUUUGGCCGUGCAUGGUGCCUCUUGCCUGUAAUGAGGCAGAUGGCUUGAGUCCAGGAGUUCAAGACCAGCCUGGGCAACGUGGAAAAACCGCGUGUUUACAAAAAAAUACAAAAAUUAUCCAGGCAUGGUGGCGCAUGCCCGUAGUGCCAGCUGUUUGGGAGGCUGAGGCAGGAGGAUCUUUGAGCCCAGGAUGCUAAGGUUGCAGUGAGCCAAGAUUGAACCAUUGUACUCCAGCCUGGGCAGCAGAGUGAGACCCUGUCUCAAAAAAUACAUUUAAUUUUUCAUUUUCAGUUAACACUGUACUCUUAUAACACCAUUAAUAUAUUGUAGCUGGUACUUCGGUGAUUCUGUUACCAGGUUUUCUAAGCUAUUUACAGUGCGUAGCUUUCAUUUGCAGCAUUAUGUUCCCACAAAUCUGUACUCAGCAUAUACAGUAUAGUUUAUCUGCUUUAUUUCUGUCUUAUAGAAAUCAUGAAUGUGGUCUGCAGACAUUGAUGAAGAAAAUCUGUUGAUGUUUUGAGAGAUUACAGAAGAGGAGGCCUGCUUCAUUUGCAGAUAAGUUUAUUAUAAUUCUCCACAAAUGUGCAGGAUGUGCAUUAGCAAAUUGCACUGUACUUUUCACUCCAGCCUGGGUGACAAAGCGAGACUCUGUCUCGAGAAAAAAAAAAAAAAAAAGAUGCUGUAUCUAAAUGAAUCUGUGUAAUUGGGCCCAGAUGUGGGUUUGCUCAGUAUUAGUAGACAAGGUCUUUGUUCAGACGAUUAGGUGCCUAACUGGCAAAUGUCUUAGCUUCUUAAAGCUAGGUAUUUCUGAUGUGGCUUUACUUUUCAAAAGUUAACUUGAUUCAACCUGAGAAAACUGAUUAAAAAACUAGUUUAAAAAUUACUUAAAUUUGCCAGCAGGGAAGUAAAAUAAUUAUGAGAAGAGCGUCUUAAGCCUAAUAUUAAAUCAGUUUUGUUAAGGGGAAAACUCAAUAAUUGUUACUUCAGCUGUUGAAUAUAUGGUUAGAUCCAAGUUGAUUUUUGUGUCUACAACUAAAUUUUGUAUACAAUUAGAUUAUUUUUUAAUAUAGGAUUUAGAAACCAAGGGUAUGUGUUUUAAAAUUAAUACUUUUUCUUGACCUGUCUAGCUGUCAGAAAACGUAACAGAAGAUGGAACUAGAAAUCCUAGUGAAAAACCUUCCCAGCAAAGAAGCAUAGCUUUUAGCUCUAAUAAUUCUGUAGCAAAACCAAUACAGAAAUCAGCUAAAGCUGCCACAGAAGAGACAUCUUCAAGAUCACCAAAAAUAGAUAAGAAAAAAAGUCCAUAUGGACUGUGGAUACCUGUCUGAAAGGAGAAAACUAAUGGCUAAGUUUGCAUGAAAACUGCACUUUAUUGCAAGUUAGUGUUUCUAGCAUUAUCCUAUCCCUUUGAGCCAUUCAGGGGUACUUGUACAUUUAAAAACCAACACAAAAAGAUGUAAAUACUUAAUACUCAAAUAUUAACAUUUUAGGUUUCUCUUGCAGAUAUGAGAAAUAGCACAGAUGGACCAAAGGUUAUACACAGGUGGGAGUCUUUUGUAUAUAGUUGUAAAUAUUUUCUUGGUUAUGUAAAAAUGAAAUUUUUUAGACAGAGUAAUUGAACUGUAUUCCUGUUUUGUAUAUUUAAUAAAUUUCUUGUUUUAAUUCUUA